GACGGCUGAGAAACUGGUGGAAUAAAUGCGACAGCAGCUGCAACAGAACGAGCAGCAGAAACAAGUGUGAAAUCCAGGAUUGGAAUGUGGCUGUUGUUGGAAAACACAUGAUCCUCUCUAUAUAGUCUUCGUUGCAGAACAGAGAUGGCAACGGGAGUUCAUACUUUUUCUAGCUCGUAACUUAGCGUGAAUAGCGCUAUUUAUUUUUUUUACAUGUUGAACAUUUAAAAGGACAGAUGUUUUCAUUCAGUCUGGAUUGCAUGUAGAACAAAGGGUUCUUGCUGCAACGGGCUAUGGAAUCUUUAUUGUAGACUCACACAAUUAUCCCGCCUCCUAAUUCGUCUCUUCAGUCCUUGCAACUCUAUGGUCACCUUAAAACCCCUCUCACCGCUGUCCGUUUCUCUGGCAGCUUUUCACAUGCGCAGGCGUAAGCAGAGGGCAAGUUCGUUUAUACGCAUGCGUAAAAGAGACCGCUACCGUAAGGCGGCCCCUUGAUAGAACGGAGUAUGCGCAGUAGGAAACACUGAGGAGGCGGACUGAAUGUUACAUUGAUCGCUAGCGGGGACAGGGGCGCCUGCGCAGCCAUCCGGCGGUAGUAAGGGUUGUUUCCUCGGUUCUCGGGAGGGGAGCAGUGGAAGAAAAGGGCGGUGGAGGGGAAAGGACGUUCGCAUCAUGGACCGCCAAGCUGAUCUGCUUUCUGUGCCGCACAAGCGUAAUGAUUUCCAUCGGGGUAGCCUCGUAGUCAGUCAGUUGCAACAAGAGCAGCAGCCUUGCAAGUGCCCUUACCGACUCUUAAUGAGGUUUCAAAGGAACUUCUGGAUAUAAUUUUGGAGCCUCUGUUUGGAAUAGCUGAGAAUUGUUGGGAGGACAGGUGAUGUCCAUAAAGACUGGAGGAUCUACAAUCUUCCCUAUAUGGACAUUUCAGGAUGAGAUACAAUCAACAUACAAGUUCAUUGCCUUGGCAAUUCAAGAGACCUCUAUUAACAAGCAUCUCUUCCCCCCCAUCACAACAAAAACAUGUUGAUCACCCUGUCUCCUGAAAAAAAGACAAAAGC